rnacentral:rRNA from 1 species
UUUGUUUAUUAUACCUUUGUUGCUUUGGCGGGCCCGUCCUCGGACCACCGGCUUCGGCUGGUCAGCGCCCGCCAGAGGACCUAAAACUCUGUUUGUUCAUAUUGUCUGAGUACUAUAUAAUAGUUAAAACUUUCAACAACGGAUCUCUUGGUUCUGGCAUCGAUGAAGAACGCAGCGAAAUGCGAUAAGUAAUGUGAAUUGCAGAAUUCAGUGAAUCAUCGAAUCUUUGAACGCACAUUGCGCCCCCUGGUAUUCCGGGGGGCAUGCCUGUUCGAGCGUCAUUACAACCCUCAAGCUCUGCUUGGUAUUGGGCUCUGCCGGUCCCGGCAGGCCUUAAAAUCAGUGGCGGUGCCAUUCGGCUUCAAGCGUAGUAAUUCUUCUCGCUUUGGAGGCCCGGGUGCGUGCUUGCCAGCAACCCCCAAUUUUUUCAGGUUGACCUCGGAUCAGGUAGGGAUACCCGCUGAACUUAAGCAUAUCAAUAAGCG